GUCACAUGGCUUCCUCUCUCACAGUCUCCACCACGGCUCCGGCAGUCUACCCUCUGGAUCCCAGAUGCGGGGGCACAACCGACUCCACAGUGACCGUGGGCUGCCUGGUCUCGAGCUACUUGCCUGAGCCAGUGACCGUGACCUGGAACUCGGGCGUCCCUUCCAGUGGCGUGCACACCUUCCCAUCUGUCCUCGGGUCUUCGGGGCUGUACUCCCUCAGCAGCACUGUGACCGUGCCUGCCAGCACCUCGACCGGCAAGAGCUUCACCUGCAGCAUAUACCACCCGGCCAGCAGCACCAAGGUGGACAAGCACAUCGAGAUUAAUGGCUCCACACGCCCCACGUGUCCUGAAUGCUACAAGUGUCCCACAUGUCCAGCCCCUGAGCUCUCAGGAGGACCGUCCGUCUUCAUCUUCCCCCCAAAGCCCAGAGACACCCUCACAAUAUCCGAAACACCUAAGGUCACCUGCGUUGCGGUUGAUGUGACCUACGAGGACCCCGAUGUCCUGUUCUCCUGGUACGUGGACGAUGUAGAGGUGCACACGGCCAGGACGAAGCCAAGGGAGGAGCAGUUCAACAGCACGUACCGUGUGGUCAGCACCCUGCCCAUCCGGCACCAGGACUGGCUGACGGGAAAGGAGUUCAAGUGCAAGGUCAACAACAAAGACCUACCAGUCCCCAUCGUGAGGACCAUCUCCAAGGACAAAGGGCAGCUCCGCGAGCCGCAGGUGUACGUACUGCCCCCACCACAGGAAGAGCUGGCCAAGAUCUCGGUCAGCUUAACCUGCAUGGUCACCGACUUCUACCCGGGUGACAUCGACGUGGAGUGGCAGAGAAACGGACAGCCAGAGAAAGAGGACAAGUACAACACGACCCCACCCCAGCUGGAGGACAAUGGGUCCUUCUUCCUGUACAGCAAGCUCAGGGUGGACAAGAAGAGCUGGCAGCAGGAAGACACCUACACGUGUGUAGUUUUUCACGAGGCUCUACACAAUCACAACACGCAGAAGUCCAUCUCCCAGUCUUCGGAACUGCUCCUAGAGGAGGAGACCUGUUCUGAUGCCCAGGACGAGGAGCUGGACGAGCUGUGGACGACCAUCUCCAUCUUCAUCACCCUCUUCCUGCUCAGCGUGUGCUACAGUGCCACCGUGACCCUCUUCAAGGUGAAGUGGAUCUUCUCGUCGGUGGUGGAGCUGAAGCGCACGAUCGUCCCAGACUACAGAAACAUGAUCGGGCAGGGCGCCUAGUGCUCACUACGGGCU